UUGUCCUUGUUGAUUCUUUUGAUCAACUCUAACUUCAACUAAUGCUCCAAAUGGACAUGUGGGGCCUCGUUGGAACCUAUCACACACAAUAUAACUAUAAAAAAUAUAACAGCCCACAAAUCUAAAUAUUAGCCAUCUUUAACAACUUAAAAUCAACCUUAACUCAUUUCUCACCUUGGUGGACUUGUAGUUGAAUUUUCUUAGUGAGGAUUAAAAGGGGAAAACUCCUUCAAGAGCUUUCAAGCUAAUUUGAAGAGUUUCCCUCUCUAUAAAUGUUCAGUUAGUGAGAGAAAGUGCAAAGGAAAAACUUUAUUUGAGGGUUUUUGAGGUGAAAAAGUCAAAGAGAACAAAAACCCUUAUGAAAAAGUGUACAAAAACAUGAAUUUUGGAGCUAGUAUGAGAAGGUUAUGGAAAUUUUAAGGUUUCUUUCCAUGGAGUGUCACGACCCGGUACUCCCCUCGAGCUUGUGACAACCGCCGUGAAGCCUCGAUAGACAUUUUUCACCCCGAAUGCUAAUCGAAACCUCGCAAGGCUCUCGUAUCAGCUUCUGCAUCUCCCUAGUGAGCGAAAGUUAUUAAAUCUCGCAUUUCAAAAAAAUCAUAAGUCGUUUCCAAAUAUAAUAUUAUUUUCUGGCUCAUAGGGGCAUUUUUGUCAUUUUUUCUUC
rnacentral:lncRNA from 1 species